rnacentral:rRNA from 1 species
CACUCCUACGGGAGGCAGCAGUGGGGAAUAUUGGACAAUGGGCGCAAGCCUGAUCCAGCCAUGCCGCGUGAGUGAUGAAGGCCCUAGGGUUGUAAAGCUCUUUUGUGCGGGAAGAUAAUGACGGUACCGCAAGAAUAAGCCCCGGCUAACUUCGUGCCAGCAGCCGCGGUAAUACGAAGGGGGCUAGCGUUGCUCGGAAUCACUGGGCGUAAAGGGUGCGUAGGCGGGUCUUUAAGUCAGGGGUGAAAUCCUGGAGCUCAACUCCAGAACUGCCUUUGAUACUGAAGAUCUUGAGUUCGGGAGAGGUGAGUGGAACUGCGAGUGUAGAGGUGAAAUUCGUAGAUAUUCGCAAGAACACCAGUGGCGAAGGCGGCUCACUGGCCCGAUACUGACGCUGAGGCACGAAAGCGUGGGGAGCAAACAGGAUUAGAUACCCGUGUAGUCCCAUGAU